UACUAGCCCAAUGCUCUUCCAACUGAGCUACUCGAACCGUCCUGACCGCGUAGCUCAGUUGGAAGAGCAUUGGGCUAGUA